AUUUCCCAGAAGGUUUUUGGAGCAUAACGUUUUAUGGCUGAACUGUCACUUAACCUAAUAUUAAUCACAAGCCUCUCUUCAAUGUGAACUCCAUAGUCUUCACUGGACAUCUCCAUCAGCAGUUCAAUAGAGGUGUGUCAUCUGUCGUCUGUAGGGGCUUCACUGGAACUUGUGCAAUGCUCCAACAAAACCAGCUCGGUUGCAGUUUGAGCUGCUGAGUCAUGUGUAGUAGAACGCUGCUCUUAUCUCCAGUCAGCCAGGAGGACUUUCACAGGCAGUUGGUCUAUGUGAGUGAGGAAACAUGGAUGAUAUUGGCCUCCUGCUGCAGGAUUACCUGGUCUGGUGUAUGCUGGGUAGGUUCACUGGAUGAUUACUGAAUAUGUUAAGAAGUCUUAUGAGCACUGUCAAUGCCAGUGGAUAUCAUGGUUUCAUCUUGGCCUGUAACUCUGCAGUAUGGAAUUGUGGUGUAUGUCCACUCCAUAGGACAGAGGGCAGACAGAGGGAAUUCAAACAGGGGGCAUGACUCAGCAAACUGUACUCCGACUCCAAUCAACACUACCAGAGCUGAAAGGGUGCUUCCAAACCAGAGAGAUAUCAACAAAUCCCACUGACUCAGCAUAAAUGACUGCGUCUGAAAGGUCAGGAGCAUGAGAGGAGAUCAGGACAUGUCCUUAAAGUAUUCUGCAUGAACACUUAAUAGAGCAACAGAUACACAAGAGUGACUAGUCUAUUCACCCCUUUUUUUAUGUGUAAGAAAAAUUCUGACCCAAAAUAUAUCAUUUCUAUGUUAUAGUGAAACAAAUCAGUCAAAACCUCCAGACUACAAUCUAUGAUGCCAAAAUUACACAAAAUCUCUUUGAAUAUUUAAGGAGCCACAUCAAACAAUUUCCUGGACAAUAAAUGUUUUCAAACAGCAUAAAUACAACAAAAAUUAACCAAUAUGAAGAGAUUUGUAGUAUAAUACCAUCAGUGGCUAAUGUCUAGUGUUCAAACAAAUAAUGGAUUGGAUGGUUAAGUUAUACACAUACUUAUUUCUUCAGCUUUUUUAUUAUUAUUAUUAUUACUAUUAUUAUUAUUAUUAUUAUUAUUAAACCAUGGCUCACUGUUGUACCAACAUUAUAGUUGGCCUUUUAGUCACAAAGUCACUAUAUACUAUAUUGUAAAAAAAAAACCACAUGGAUUUAAAAAAUGUAUUUGCUUCUGAAAAUGUAUGAACUACAUUAUAUGAACUGUAUAGAAACACACUCAUAUAUGUUAACCAUAACAUCUCAUCAGAUUCAUCUCAGAUUGAUGUAGUGGUUAAAACUCAUUAGCUCAAUUAAAUGAGUACCAAUUAUGUAUAGACUGAUAGAAGUGAGCAGUCCAUUGUUAUUUCAUGGAUCUUUAAGCAGCCCAUAUUUUAGAUGCUUAAACAACUUGUAAUCCAUAAUUGAUUUAGAUGCAUAAGUUUGAAGUGUUCAAGAUUGGUAAUCACAUUAAUAGUCAAAUUUAUUUAAAAUCUCAAUCUGGAGCUUCACGUUCUUUGGGAAUACAUUAUGCAGCAAGAUGUCAGAGUAAAUUAAAUUCCCUUGUGCCCAGUAAAGUGUCAAUUCCCUUAUGGUAAUCAUCUACUGGAAUGGAUGUGUCAGUAGAAGGAGUCGGGCAUGCCUGACAUUUACCCUCUUUAUGGACAGAUGACAGGGAAAAAAAAUCAAGUAGAGGCAGAGAAAUUAAUCUUUCGUACGAGUGAAUAUGGAAAAGCACUAAAAGAGUGUUGAAGAAUCAGCCAUUAUAUUUGUGACCCCAACAUGAAAAUUAAGCCAGGGAUAGCAAGAAGACCAAGAAAUAUGAGCAGGGACAUGAGAGGAUACCCGAGGAAGAGAACUACACAUACACAUCUGUUGGAGAGGCAAUUGUUUUGAUGUGAAUGAUGCUGCACAAUAUUAUCAUGGCCCAAUAAUCUUUAUAUGGUUGCUUCUAACUGUUUGGCUGUUGUUGUUUUUUUGUUUUUUUUUAAAAAUGAGUUGGAAUUAUAAAUAUAUUUACAAGUGGCAUACCCUAAGCAAAGGCUUAAGAUUG